rnacentral:rRNA from 1 species
UACGGGGGGGGUAAGCGUUGUUUGGAAUUACUGGGCGUAAAGGGCUCGUAGGCGGCCAACUAAGUCAUACGUGAAAUCCCUCAGCUUAACUGGGGAACUGCGUGUGAUACUGGAUGGCUUGGAUUUGGGAGAGGGAUGCGGAAUUCCAGGUGUAGCGGUGAAAUGCGUAGAUAUCUGGAGGAACACCGGUGGCGAAGGCGGCUCUCUGGAACGCAACUGACGCUGAGACGCGAAAGCGUGGGGAGCAAACAGG